UACGUAGGGUGCGAGCGUUAAUCGGAAUUACUGGGCGUAAAGCGUGCGCAGGCGGUUUUGGAAGACAGAUGUGAAAUCCCCGGGCUCAACCUGGGAACUGCAUUUGUGACUGCAUAGCUAGAGUACGGUAGAGGGGGAUGGAAUUCCGCGUGUAGCAGUGAAAUGCGUAGAUAUGCGGAGGAACACCGAUGGCGAAGGCAAUCCCCUGGACCUGUACUGACGCUCAUGCACGAAAGCGUGGGGAGCAAACAGG
rnacentral:rRNA from 1 species